AGCAGCCGCGGUAAUUCCAGCUCCAAUAGCGUAUAUUAAAGUUGUUGCAGUUAAAAAGCUCGUAGUUGAAUUUCGGGGUUCUUCCGUUGGUCAGGCUAACAAGUCUGUACUAGCGUGUAGAAUCUCUACCUUCUGGGGAACCAUCAUGUUAUUAAUUUAGCGUGGUGGGAAACCAGGACCUUUACCUUGAAAAAAUUAGAGUGUUCAAAGCAGGCUUACGUCUGAAUACAUUAGCAUGGAAUAAUAAAAUAGGACGGUGGUCCUGUUUUGUUGGUUUCUGAAUCACCGUAAUGAUUAAUAGGGAUAGUUGGGGGCAUUAGUAUUCAAUUGUCAGAGGUGAAAUUCUUGGAUUUAUUGAAGACUAACUUCUGCGAAAGCAUUUGCCAAGGAUGUCUUCAUUAAUCAAGAACGAAAGUUAGGGGAUCGAAGACGAUCAGAUACCGUCGUAGUCUUAACCAUAAACUAUGCCGACUAGGGAUCGGACGAUGUUAAAUUUUAUUGACUCG
rnacentral:rRNA from 1 species